rnacentral:rRNA from 1 species
GAGUUUGAUCGUGGCUCAGGAUGAACGCUGGCGGCGUGCUUAACACAUGCAAGUCGAACGAAGCACUCAGGAGCGAUUUCGGUCAAUCCUGUUUGACUGAGUGGCGGACGGGUGAGUAACGCGUGAGUAACCUACCUCGCAGUGGGGAAUAACAGUUGGAAACGACUGCUAAUACCGCAUAAUGCAGAGAGACCGCAUGAUCUUUCUGCCAAAGAUUUAUCGCUGUGAGAUGGACUCGCGUCUGAUUAGCUAGUUGGUGAGGUAACGGCUCACCAAGGCGACGAUCAGUAGCCGGACUGAGAGGUUGACCGGCCACAUUGGGACUGAGACACGGCCCAGACUCCUACGGGAGGCAGCAGUGGGGAAUAUUGGGCAAGUGGGCGCAAGCCUGACCCAGCAACGCCGCGUGAA